rnacentral:rRNA from 1 species
AGUCCCGCAACGAGCGCAACCCUUAUCCUUGUUUGCCAGCAAGUAAUGUGGGGAACUCCAGGGAGACUGCCGGUGAUAACCCGGAGGAAGGUGGGGACAACUUCAAUUCAUCAUGGCCCUUACAAUUAGGGCUACACACUUGCUACAAUGGCCCAUACAAAGGGCAGCCACUUUGCGAAAUUGAGCGAAUCCCAAAAA